UCUAAUAUGGCAGAAUAGUGCAUUGAAUUUAAGCUUCACUUAUAAAGUUUUACUUUUAUUAGAA
rnacentral:tRNA from 1 species